UAACUUUACGUUGCACGCGUACAUGACUUUCCGUUUGUGCCUUGAAUAAUGAAUAAGGCUACGUCCACACGUACCAGCGUAUUUUUGAAACCGCUGAUUUUUCUAUGCGUUUGCACCUUUUGUCCACACGUAAUGUAUGUCUGGCCAUACAUUGUGUUUGUAUUUCCAGGCACAUUUCACGAAGCAGAACGCAGUCUUCAGAGAUAUCCACGUGAACGCUGUGAUACGUCUGACCUUCAGUCCGAAGAAGAAACCCAGACCAGUCUUAAAAGAAAGCACAAACCAAAUCCCCUGUACACAUAUACGGACUCAGAGGAUGAGUUUUUUUGUGGGGAAAGCCUACAAAAAAACGGUUUCCCCAGGCCCCUCGAGUGAAAAUACCAGCCCUCAUCACUCCGCAGUCUGCCCCCCAGCCCACUGAUAGCAACCAUCGUAAUGCCCCACCCAGCUUCCGGCACCUUUCGCCACUCCGGCACAAACCGACACAGCUUUGUGAUCUCGCCAGCAUGCAGAGUCUGAUGUCUUCCCUAUAGAUGAUUCCAGAGACUCUGUGAAGCCACUAUUACAAGGUGAGACGCUUUGCGUUGAUUGGUGCUGCUGGACCACACUGGAGGUGCGAGUCCGCCGUGUAAUGGUUUAUGCCAUUACAAAGGAGCUGGCCUCUGUACUCAACUGGACAGGGGAAAAAAAACCAAGGACCAGACAAAGCAAAAAAGGGCAUUUAAAGAGACAGCGCCGUGCAGAUGCAUAUUUGAUGGCCUGGCGCAGCAGGUAGGGGCGAACUCUAUGUCUGAGUUGGUCUUUGCUCAAGCAGUCCAGAAAUGGCUCAGAUAUGCUCCAGAUCGUACGGGUGGCGCGCAGGACGCACAUCAUCCAUCCCCAUCCCGGAGUAAAUAAUAAAAAGUGACGUGAAACAUAGAAAUGUAAAUAGGAAACUUUGUCUUUUAAUAAAGUAUUUUGCAAAUGAUACAUGUCUAUUGACCUUUUUUGGUUUUUUGUUUUUUUCAAUAAAAAGCAACUGUGCGAAAGAGGUGGAAAAUCAACACCAUAUCUCAACAGUGUUUCAAUAUCAGAAUCUGACAUUGUUUCAAUGUCAACAGUGUUAGAAAAUAUAACGUCGAAUCAAUGUCAGGUUUCAACACUGAUUCAACAUCAAAACCUGACGUUGUUUCAACGUUAAAAAUGGGUGCAAGAGUGAUGUUGGGUCAA